AUGCUUGUCUUUAUCAAGGAUGUAAGUGCUAUUUUAUUAUUUUAUUUAAGAAUUUAUAUGCCAACUGGACAACUUUGCAUCAUAUCCAUUCCACAUCAUACAAUUACUGUUUUAUAUAUUGUAUGUUUUCAUUUCAUUCAGAUACAUUGGUUCCAUUGACCACCGUUGAACUUGGUGAACCUGCGACCUUAACAUGUGUUUUGCCUAAUCAAGAGUUGAGCAGUAGAAUACUCCACUGGUACAAGCAACAAACAGAUUGGACUGAUUCUGGUGAUGGAGUGGGACAUAUCUGUUAGUAAAAGCUCCUCUGAUGCUGGGACUUAUAACUGUGCUGUGGCCACAUGUGGGAAAAUAUUAUUUGGAGACAAAACUGGACUUUCAAGAGAGAUGAGGACACAUGGAUUUAUUCUGCUGUCGUCUUCAGCUUGAUGAAAGCUGACGGUGUAAAAAAGGAUGCAAAAGCAGCGGAGAGAGAGAGGAUCUAUGCUGCUGUCAAGGAUUUUCGUUUGGAUUAGUGAGUUAACAGGUCUGUUUGUCAUCAGUUGGUACUGUAUGAUAUAGUUAAUGUUAGUCUGUUUGGAGCUAAAGGGUUUGUUAUACUGUCUGUGGCUAUUUGGUAGUACUGUCUAUGUUUUACUG